GCAGCAGCUGACAUAGAAGACUGGAGCCCACUUAAAAAAGGAAUAGCAGCCAAAGGGGUUAGGGUCUAUUUUGGAAAAGGGCCUCAGAUCACAAAUGUAGUUUUUUAAGAAAAAGUAGGAUAUAGAACACAAAAGUCACAACUAUUUGAGAUGAAGAUAGGAGACGCCCAGAGAAGAGGAAAGCACAAACCCCCAUAUGCUAUUGACUCCUCUGAUUCAUAUCUACAGGGGGUCAGGGAAGAACUGGCCUUUAAAUGUAAAGGACAAGAAGGGUCAACCUUCUGCACAUGGAAGGGCUCAAAUAUGGGAAUGAGACCCAACAGAUAUUGCACUUUGUUUGUACUUUCUAUUACACUUUGAUUUCCCUGUUUCUCUGCCGUUUGAACUGGCUGAAAUAAUUCUAGCGUGUCUCUUCAAAAGAGAGUGAAAAAGGAUCCUGCUCCUGCAGCUUUGAACCGCUGCCUCUGUAAUCUACCAUCUCUCUGACCAGCUGAGCUGAAUGAUUUAAAACUUUCCUAAGGACAGCAAAUCUGAAGUGAAGAAAACCACAAAGAUUCCUUUCCCUGUUGCCAGGUUAUUUCAAGAACUGAAGCUGACAUUUAAAGUUAAUUAAAGAAAGAUCUCAGGGGUGUGUGAUGUCAUGCAUACCUGAUCUGGAUCGUGUUUGAUAUCAAUAUUAAAUACUUCUGUAAAACUGUGGGAAAAAGCUGUUGAGCUGGUUCAGCCUGUUGCCAGAUGAAGAAUUGUUUGCACCUGGUGGCUUAAUACAAUGCUUAUUCUUCAAAAACCACUGAUUUGUGGAACCUCACAAUGUUUUUCCUGUGGGAAGAAGAAGUGGAAAGCUGUCAGCCCAGUUGUGCCAACUUUUAUCAGUUCAACAGGCACUCAGGAAUGACUCUGGGGUGUCGACCACCAGGGACCACCAUGGAGACCCCCCAGGACACAACUCAAGCUCAGAGAGUAGGGAACAUCUGUUAAUGAUUUUGGGGGAAUGAUUAUUCUAUGUGUUCUUAUUGCAGAAAACUCAAAGAAUAUUUAUGUAAAAUACAGUAUCUAAACAGGAGCUUUUUCUAUAAUCAGCAUGUAUGCUUGGUGGUGUUAUCCCCCAUACAUCCGGCCAAAUGAAUAAUGCCAGUUUCUUAAUGCUACAGUGGUGCUAAGGAGUUUUAUUUUUAGCAGGUUUUGGUAACAAGCUUCAUUCCUUCACUCCUGCCUUCUCUCCUGCCCCAAGCAGUGCAGAGGGAGAGUGGGAUGGGGGAUUAAGGUCAGUACAUAUUGGUUCCUCUCUGCAGCUGCUUUCACGCUUUCUGCACCAGCACUAGCUUUCCCAUGGAAUACAGCCCUGCUCAAAAAAACCCCCUCAUCUUUUGCAUAAGUACUCCAAAGGUUGCUAUUCCUUCAAGAAAUGUUAAUCUGCUCUGGUAUGCUUCCUCCACAGGUUGCAGUGAGUAUUCACUCCAUGCAGCACCUCCUCUAACCUUGCUCUCUCUUCUGCUGGUCCCCACUAUUUUUGUGUUAACCCACUUCUACCUUGUAAUCCCUUUGUGCCCUCUUAAAUACUAUUUCACAGAAGUCCCACACAGCUGGUGGGCUCAGCUGUGUCCUAUGGUGGAUCCAUUGCAGAGUCAGCUGGAACCAGUUGGAACCAACUGUGCCCAGCACGGGGUAGCCCCCUCGAACUCUUGACGUGGAGGACACCUCUGCAGCUAAUUCACUGCCAAACUCUGAACACCUAUGUGCAGUUUAGAAGCCAAAUAAAACAGAAGAACAAGAAAAAAAUUUAAAAAUAACCACUAUUUUGAUGUAUUAUUUACAUCCAAAUAGUCCCUCUAUAAUUUGAAUUCAGCAGUGAAACUGUCCAAGAGGCAUAACAGACAGAAUUUAAUCAGCUCAGCAGCCAUACCCAUACCACUCAGAAGUCUGCUUUUCAUGCUUUUGUAAAUGGUGAUGAGAGAAGCUCAGAUCUUCCUGAGAUGAUAACAGAGGAGAUCUUUGCAAGUAAAACAGUAUAAGCUGAUCCUAUUGUUAAAAAGUCUGAAAUUAAUUCUUACCAUUGUACAUGUCCAGGACUACUUUUCUCACAAUUUCCUGCAUAUCACCACUUAUCUUCAUAUAUAUUAGAAUGGCAGCAGAAUCAUUACAAAUUUCACUUCUUACCAGAAAAAUUAUUAAAGGACAUACUUGUUUUCAAUAUAAUAGUGAAGUUCAAAUAUAUGGACAGAUUUGUGAUCUUAUUUACUUGCAGAUCAUUUCAGUUAAAGUCAUCCAGCAGAUAGUAAUGGUAAGACUAUGCCAGGUUCCCCUUGUAAUUAUUGAAACAAUUACAAGUUUCCAGACACUGAUUUAUCCCAUCCUCCCCAGUGUAUCACUUUUGGCUUCCAGCUGCUGUUGUAGAAAGACCUGAGCACCGCAUGGGCUCCUUUUAUAUUUAGUAUAGUUGUGUGAAUUUCCUAGAUACACUAUGAUUCAAAAAAAAUGCAUUGACUGCCCAGAGUCUUUGGUGAAUGACUGAUGCCAAAUCACUCUUCACCAAAAGAUGGAUAGGUUUCAAUAACUCUAUAAAUUUGAUUUUUCUGUCCAUAUUCGGAGUGUAGAUAAUCAGCAUUCAUGUGGAUGUUUAUAUUCCAACAAAUUAAUUUAGGUUUUCUAAUCUACAGCUGAGUGUCAUUCCCAAAUCACUGAUCAGUGAGAGAAAUUCCUUCUAAAGUUGCUUGUGCACUAAAAAAAUGAGCAAUGCACAGAUGCACUUGAAGUAACAGGAAUAUAACUACCUGCAGUGCUAGGUUUUUAGAAUUUCAGUCAAAACCACAUCUCCAAAAGUAUUUCUGGCUAUGUUUUAACAGCAUAAGACAGAUACAGUGAGCAGUCUGGAUGUGAUUGCCCUGGCCUGAGAUCUAAUAUAUUUUAUUAGUAUAUGUGUGGCCAGACUGUGCUAGUUGGAAUAAAAGGCAGAAAGAAAACUCUGGCAGCAUAUUUACUUUGAAAGAUUUAAACAGAAGACACCACAAUUAGUCAGCUACAAAUCUCCUUAGUGAAGAAGAAAUUUGUAGCUAGUUAGUUAAAUGCAAGAAAAUUGUGUCCUUCUGCAUUAUCCACACACUCCUACUACCACAUGGAAGACAGCACUGGCAGUGUUCACUUAUGAAUAUAAAGUCACACUUAGAUUAUCCUAAAUGCACGUGUACCCUUUUUCAUGUGCUGUGUAUAUAAAAUAAACCUGUCACAGCAGCACCAGUGGAUUUAAUCAGUGUACUUUAAAACUAUCUUACUCUACUUUUCAUCUUCUCUGCUCCACCUCAUUCUGGGGCAUCCACUCACUGCAGCUUUCCUUCAGGCAAAAAUCAUAGAACAAUAGAAUGGUUUGGGUUGGAAAGGAUCUUAAAGACCAUUUCAUUCCAACACCCCUGCCAUGGGCAGGGACACCUUUCAUGAAACCAGGCUUCUAGGGGUGGUUAGGUAUGUUGGUUCUACAACCAACUGGCCUGAGAUCUAAUACAUUUUAUUAGUAUGUAUGUGGCCAGACUUGCUAGCUGGAAUAAAAGGCAGAAAGAAAACUCUGGCACCAUAUUUGCUUUGAAAGAUUUAGACAGAAGAUGCCACAAUUAGUCAGCUACAAAUCUCCUUAGUGAAGAAGCUCAGGCUUCUUGGGAUGAUUAGGUUCUGACUUCUAAGGCCAGAAAAGUGCAAGUCCCAUUUUGAUAUCACAUGUUCCACUGAAUCUUUCAGGGACUAUGGGGUUUUUCAUGUUUCUUCUCUACAUCUCUGUGUAAAGGCGAAAAAAAAUAGAAAAGUAGCCACUAUUUUUUUGUGCUGAGGCUAUAUUAAAUUAUUAAAACAUAAAGCUAUUCAGCAGAAAAUAUAUGCUAUGCUUUUCCCUUAAUAGAAAUUGGCAAAUGCUCACUUUUUAAUGCCAUUUAUAUGCAACAUUUUUCUGUCUUAAAACGUCUCAUGCUUUGUAAAUUGUGCUUUAGAAGCCUCUAGAGAUAUGAUGAUGAAAUAUUGAUUGUCAUUUUCUUGACUUUUCCCACUCCCAAAACCCUCUUCACCACAUGCAAUUCUUCUGAUUUAUAUUUUUUUAUUAUUUUGACAAAUUGAAAACACUUCAUGCUGUGAAAUAACUAGCAACAAGGGAGAAUUUCAUACACACAUACAUAAGAAAGGAAAACAAACAAGCAUGAAGCAUAUAUAUUUCCAUUACUGCUAGACGAGCUAACUUUUCAAGCCCUGAAAUCUAGCCUUGUCUUGAAUUUAUGAGCUGAAUUCAGAACACUUGAGGGAAUGCCAAACUUCAAGCUUAUAAGCAAUUAUAUGGAAGUCAUAUGUUAAUAAUUCAAUAUAGUGUUAAGUGCUUAUAGGUUCUUUAUUGUUAGACUGACCUAAAAGCAAUAUUCUUGUCAUUUACUUCAGUCAUCCUAAAUUUGAUUUGGAUUAUCUUUUUUCUUUUUUUAGAUUAUUCCAUGCCUUUUCUAUAUUAAUCAAAAUUAUGAUCUAUAAAUUUAACUAGAAGUUAUAUAUUCUGGAUUACAAAAAUCUGUGCAAGUUAACAUCUCAGGUUAAAUCUGUGAAAUUUUCCCUAGAGAUGAGACUAAACAGUUAAAUAUGUAACAGCAGGCAGACCUUCAAAAACCUGAAGGAAAUAAAAUUGUACCGACAUAUACUGUAAGUUUUGUCUGCAAAACAGCAACUACAAAAUUCUGAGUGCAAGGCUCAUGACAGCUGGAAGAAAAAUUUGGUCCAAUAAAUCUGCAUCCAAAA